rnacentral:ncRNA from 1 species
UGCGGUGAAUCCCCCUGUGCGGAGGGGCUUACAGUGAAGCAUAGUCUCGGUCGAAAGCGGGUAAAGUUGCUGUGCUUUACCCACCGGGAGGCACCCGGCACCGCA